rnacentral:tRNA from 1 species
GCCGCGGUAGCUUAAUGGUAAAGCAUGCCCCUGAAGAGGGUAUGAAGGCAGUCCGAUUCUGCCCCGCGGCACCA